rnacentral:rRNA from 1 species
UACGUAGGGUGCGAGCGUUGUCCGGAAUUAUUGGGCGUAAAGGGCUCGUAGGCGGUCUGUUGCGUCGGGAGUGAAAACUCAGGGCUUAACCCUGAGCCUGCUUCCGAUACGGGCAGACUAGAGGUAUGCAGGGGAGAACGGAAUUCCUGGCGUAGCGGUGAAAUGCGCAGAUAUCAGGAGGAACACCGGUGGCGAAGGCGGGUCUCUGGGCCGUAACUGACGCUGAGGAGCGAAAGCAUGGGGAGCGAACAGG